rnacentral:lncRNA from 1 species
UGAAAGGUAUCUCAAUUCAGAGGUACCCGAAUUAGAGGUACCCACUUAUGGGUGGGUAAAUUACUGCAAGAGAAGAUCAAGGAAGUCACUCGCCAUCUGUGAGGGAGGCAGCGGAGCCCCAGAGGCACUGGGGAGAGGCAGCUGGGCCUCGAGCUUGUGGUUGCAGAUUGGAGCUGGCCAGGGCAGAGAUGCUGUGCUGAGAUGGAAGCGGUGGCAGCUGAAACCUGGAUAAUUAGAGCCGGCCGAACACCUUUUGACAAGGA